GCUAUAGCCCACCCGUUUUUCUGGCCUUGUUCCGCUGGACGAACUUUGCGCCCCGGCCUUCGGGCGGUUCUUUUUGGGUACGGCUUUGUCCGCGUCUUAUUUUUGGCACACGGAGGCCCCUCGCAAAGUCUCGCGGCAUUCUGAGUCCGGCGGAUGAAGUGGGCCAGCCCCACCCCCCAAGGCUAUAGCCCAUCCGUUUUUGUGGCCUUUUUCCGCUGGACGAACUGGGUGCCCCGGCCUUCGGGCGGUUAUUUCUGGGCGCGGCUUUGACCACGGCCUGUUUUUGGCACACGGAGGCCCCUCGCAAAGUCUCGCGGCAUUCCGAGUCCGGCGGACGAAGUUGGCCAGCCCCACCCCGCAAGGCUAUAGCCCACCCGUUUUUGUGGCCUUUUUCCGCUGGACGAACUUGGCGCCCCGGCCUUCGGGCGGUUAUUUUUGGGCGUGGCUUUGGCCGCGGCCUAUUUUUGGCACACGGAGGCCCCUCGUAAAGUCUCGCGGCAUUCCGAGUCCGACGGACGAAGUGGGCCAGCCCCACCCCCCAAGGCUAUAGCCCACCCGUUUUUCUGGCCUUGUUCCGCUGGACGAACUUUGCGCCCCGGCCUUCGGGUGGUUCUUUUUGGGUACGGCUUUGUCCGCGUCUUAUUUUUGGCACAGGAGGCCCCUCGCAAAGUCUCGCGGCAUUCUGAGUCCGGCGGACGAAGUGGGCCAGCCCCACCCCCCAAGGCUAUAGCCCAUCCGUUUUUGUGGCCUUUUUCCGCUGGACGAACUGGGUGCCCCGGCCUUCGGGAGGUUAUUUUUGGGCGCGGCUUUGCCCACGGCCUAUUUUUUGCACACGGAGGCCCCUCUCAAAUUCUCGCGGCAUUGCGAGUCCGGCGGCCGAAGUUGGCCAGCCCCACCCCCCAAGGCUAUAGCCCACCCGUUUUUGUGGCCAUUUUCCGCUGGACGAACUUGGCGCCCCGGCCUUCGGGCGGUUAUUUUUGGGCGCGGCUUUGACCACGGCCUGUUUUUGGCACACGGAGGCCCCUCGCAAAGUCUCGCGGCAUUCCGAGUCCGGCGGACGAAGUUGGCCAGCCCCACCCCGCAAGGCUAUAGCCCAC
rnacentral:lncRNA from 1 species